rfam:Ictidomys tridecemlineatus contig011008, whole genome shotgun sequence.
GGGGAUAUGGCUCAGUUGGUAGAGUGCUUGCCUCGCGUGCACAGGGCCCUGGGUUUAAUCCCCAGCACCACCA